rnacentral:rRNA from 1 species
UACGUAGGGGGCUAGCGUUGUCCGGAUUUAUUGGGCGUAAAGGGCUCGUAGGCGGCCAACUAAGUCAGACGUGAAAUCCCUCGGCUUAACCGGGGAACUGCCUCUGAUACUGGAUGGCUUGAGAUUGGGAGAGGGAUGCGGAAUUCCAGGUGUAGCGGUGAAAUGCGUAGAUAUCUGGAGGAACACCGGUGGCGAAGGCGGCAUCCUGGACCAACACUGACGCUGAGGAGCGAAAGCCAGGGGAGCAAACGGG